CGUAGGAAGCGAGCGGUUAUCCGGAUUUACUGGGCGUAAAGCGCGAUGCAGGCGGUUCGACAAGUUGGACUUGAAAGCUCCCGGCUCAACUGGGAGAGGCGGUUCAAAACUGUGGGACUAGAGGAUGGACGAGGAAAGCGGAAUUCCCGGUGUAGUGGUGAAAUGCGUAGAUAUCGGGAGGAACACCAGUGGCGAAAGCGGCUUUCUAGGCCAUAUCUGACGCUCAGGAUGCGAAAGCCAGGGGAGAGAACGGGAUUAGAAACCCCGGUAUUCCUGGCCGUAAACGAUGUUAACUAGGCGUCGGCGGUGUCAAAGCCGUCGGUGCUGCAGCCAACGCGAUAAGUUAACCGCCUGGGGACUACGGCCGCAAGGCUA
rnacentral:rRNA from 1 species